rnacentral:rRNA from 1 species
CAGCACCUCAAGUUGUCAGGAGGAUUAUUGGGCCUAAAGCAUCCGUAGCCUGCUCUGUAAGUUUCCGGGUUAAAUCCAUUUGCUCAACAAAUGGGCUGCCGGAAAAACUGCAAAGCUAGGGAGUGGGAGAGGUAGACGGUACUCGGUAGGAAGGGGUAAAAUCCUUUGAUCUAUUGAUGACCACCUGUGGCGAAGGCGGUCUACCAGAACACGUUCGACGGUGAGGGAUGAAAGCUGGGGGAGCAAACCGGAUUAGAUACCCGGGUAGUCCCAGCUGUAAACGAUGCAGACUCGGUGAUGCGUUGGCUUGUGGCCAGUGCAGUGCCGCAGGGAAGCCGUUAAGUUUGCCGCCUGGGAAGUACGUACGCAAAGUAUG